GACGAACGCUGGCGGCGUGCUUAACACAUGCCAGUCGAACGGAAAGGCCCUGCUCUUGUGGGGUGCUCGAGUGGCGAACGGGUGAGUAACACGCGAGUAACCUGCCCUUGACUUUGGGAUAACUUCAGGAAAAUGGGGCUAAUACCGGAUAGGAGCUCCUGCUGCAUGGGGGGGGAUGGAAAGAUGCGGCGGUUGGGGAUGGACUCGAGGCUUAGCAGCUUGUUGGUGGGGUAGUGGCUUACCAAGGCUAUGACGGGUAGCCGGCCUGGGAGGGUGACCGGCCACAGUGGGACUGGGAAGCGGCCCAGACUCAUACGGGAGGCAGCGGUGGGGAAUAUUGCACAAUGGGCGGAGGCCUGAAGCAGCAACGCCGCGUGCGGGAUGACGGCCUUCGGGUUGUAAACCGCUUUCGCCUGUGACGAAGCGUGAGUGACGGUAAUGGGUAAAGAAGCACCGGCUAACUACGU
rnacentral:rRNA from 1 species